AAUAUUAGAAAAUAUGAAAAUAAUAAAAGAAUUUCAAUGAAAGUAUUCAUAAAGAAAAUCACAACAUCAAUUAUGUAUGAGAUUAAUAUAAACAAUUAGAGAUAAAGUUAGAAAAACUGACAAACUUGGAGAUUGAGGCUUGCAUAAAUGCAAUGUCCUAAAGAUAGAAUUUCGCCCCUACUCUUGUGCUUGUAGUUCGAUAGGCGUCUAUCUCUCAGGAUUCAACAAUCUAUAAUCCGAAGUCAAAGCACUUCAAUCUUCGGACUCUGGCGAACUUUAUAUAUUCCGUACUCUCAAGACACGACUCGGAAUUUGACACACGAAUCAUUUGAGAAAUAAAGUGGGGAAACCCUAUUUCUCAAGAGUAAAAAUUAACUUUAAUUUUCUAUAUCUUAAUGCCAUGGUUUCAUGAGGUUAAAUAAAACCGAAGGCAUUGAUUGACGAAGAGAUGCAUACAUACAUCUUUUAGAUGGCACCAUUUAAAAGGUCCAUACUCAAUGUGGCGCUGCUUUGUAUAAGAUGGCACCCAUUUAAUGACAAAUACGGUUUGAUACAAACGGUUAAAGUAUUUUUCAUUCAAUUAUUGAAUUAAAUAUUAUAAUUAUUAAUAUUGUAAUAUGUAAAUUCCAACAAUCCCCCACAUGAAUGAAAAAUUAGAAAGAAUUUGAGAGUACAGGCGGACAAGAGAUGCAUCGGGAGAGGUGUCUUUUGGACUUGAACCUACCCUAGUGAAUACUUAUCGGAUUUACUUGGUGACGCAGUGAAUAUAGAAUCUUGAACUGUUCACCGCAGUAGUAAACCGAGACAAUAAGCAACACACAUCACUAAUCCUAAUAUAUUCCGGUUCAUACGGUUGUGUUCAUUUUGGUCCUGAACAAAUCCCGGAUUCAUGAGAGCUUUAGAGUAUUUAGCCAUCUCAUACUCAUAGAAGCGACCCACUUCUACUCUCACAUAGGUGACCACUGAUUAAGAAUAGUCUGCUAUAUUCCUCUUAUUUAUAAGAUAUCACUGUCAUUAAGUAUAAAUAUACAACCUAAAACGUCUGCAGACAACACACUUCUUCCAUCAUAGGAAUGAGGUAUAUAGUGUGUUAACUUCUUUGAAUCAUGCCCAACCAGUUUGCCUAUUGAACUUAGACCAUGGGAUCUCCAAUCAACUAAGUUAGGUUUCCGACCGGCUGAUUCAUUAGUUAUGUUGGCUUUAGCCUCAUUCCCCUCGAUGAUCAACUUACUCUCUAGUCUAACCUUUAAUAAUUGGAUCCACUACUAGGUUGACUAUUUUUAAUGGUGUAUACAAUCCAUCUUAUGAAAUUAUAUUUCAUACGAGAGUAGUUGAUUUACAACGUCAAGUCCUUAACCAUACAUGUUGGGACUUUAGUUAGUAAUUUGCUAAUACUUGGGCAUACUCCCCCACAUUUAAGGUAGUUGUAAGAAGGUCUCUAACCUUACCAAACCUUAAACAAUUACUCAUUACAGGAGAUGACAUCUUAAAUGUCGUUCAAUCAGCAACUUACUUUUAACCAACCCCCACAAUUCUUUCAUAAUUGUUGUUUCUUGUAAUGCUAUCAUUAAAUCGAUCACAUUUUCCACUUUAAGAAGUAAGGAACAACUAAGAUAGACCUUAUAUAUCUAUCUUCUUAGGCCUUCAUGCCUCACUAGCCAUUAUGGAAAAGCACUUCUUGGCUUUCAUCCUUUCCACACUAUGACUAACAUACAUGACCCAAUGUCCAUGUCCAUUUAUAUGCUUACUUAAUAAGUAUCAUCAUGCAUGUCUAAUACAAUUAUGCGAAAUGCCCCGCACAUUUUUAGUGUUGUCUUUUCCUUUGUGAAAGACCCCCACAAUUUCAAGAUUAUUUCUCUAUAUUGAGAUCAUUUUGAAUAACACUCAAUAAUAUUCAUUUUCUCCAUGACUGACAUGGCAAAUGCAUCACUCUAACAAUUGCAUAUAAAAAAUUUCUAUCAUAUUCGAAGCGGUGCAUUUGCUUGUCUAAUGAAUUGUAUUCUUACCAUAGUACUGAUUGAUGUUAUAUAAUUUACCAAAGAAUGCGCACACAGAUUUGAAGGAAUGUAUUUGAACAAUUUAUUGUAAUUUUCAUGUUAAACCUUUUGAGUGCAGAUUGGUUUCUGGAAUAAAACAAAGUGGUAGAGCGGUUUGACAAUUCAAACCGUAUGUCAUCAGGCAUGUGUUUAAUUAUUUGAAUAUAAAUCAUAACGUUUGCUCAUAUUGGUUACUGAUUGGCGAAAGAAUGUGGUAGGCAGGAAAUUACAUCUUUCCUGCCAAGCCCAAAAGGGAACGGCUAUGACUGUUCAAAUCGAACAAAUGCAUGGAAGACUAAGUAGAUGCCAUCUUUCCAAAAAUGUUGAAGGGGCAUGAUGACUUAUGGGUCUUUUGUCAGUAACUAUAUUGAGUUACGGAGAUGUGGUUAUGACUUGAUCUUUUUCAGACUAACGAAGGAGAUCAAUGGUGUUUAUGAACAGCAUCAGUUUACAGUUGGCAAUCACGUCUUCCUGCUAAAGACGUAAAUGGUGUAUCUUUUGCAUUUAAAAUGAAAAGACAUGUUAAUUGGUAAAACAGCCAAACACAUGUUGGAUUACAUGAAUCGUACCAUAAGUCACAACUAAUUAAGAGGCUUUGCCCCGUGUGUGUGUGAUUUCAUGUGAAGUAUGGUUUUUGUGUUCGCAAAGCACUUAAAUUAAGAAUUACUUAGAUUCGUUUCUUUUUGACAAUCAGUUUUAGAUAUAUUGAUUUAGUAGAUGAAUGAAUUGCCAUUUGCUUUGAUUAAAAAGCUACACUGUUGCUUACAUUUGAUGGGUUUUGCAUACUGUUGAAUAUACGUAUCUCUUACAAUAGUUUGGAUUGGUGUUUUAACAUAGUUUUGAAUGGUAAUUUCGCCAUAAUACAUUCAUUUGGACAAUGGAUCAUGUUGUUUUGCAUGUCAAACGGUUUGGAACUCAAUAACUGUUAAGGUUUUAUCAUUUCCGAAAUGAAAAUGUCAUAAAGCAUGAUGAUAUAUUGAAAAACUAUAGUGUUGAAUUGUAUUUGGUCUGUGUACAUAUUCAUCUUGUAUACGCAUGGGGAGUUGUUACUUUAAUCUAACAGUUCCUUUUUAUUUUUUGCGUGCCCUUAUUUUCUGGGAACGAAUUACCUGUUUCAAAGCCUCAUGUGUGCAACACUAAGACAACUGAAAUGGGAUGAGAAUGGUGUGAAAUUAGUAUGACAGUUAGAUGCAUACCUUGAUUUGUUGCAUUCAUAUGUGUGGAGUCCUGAAAUGAAUCAUUGGGUGUUCUGUAAAAUAUAUAUGGUAUAUGUAGAACUCAAUCACAAUUGACCAAUUGGAGAUUCUAGAUAAAAGAGAAAUCGAUGAGACCGCGGCUUGACGGUUCUAUAUUCAUUUGAGUCAAGAAUUUUGGGGCAUUUAGAACCAUGUGGUGGUUAAGAUGACAAAUGCAUAGUUUCUGUAAGGUGGUGGAACCAAAAGGUUGAAUCUGCCAUAUGAGAUUCCAAGGAAAAAGCAUGCCAUUUGAAUUGCUGCUUUUGACAGUGAAAGGGUACGACCUUUCCAACUAGUAUAUGAUGCAACACUUAACUUUCUGGAAGAUUUCUUGAGAAGCAUUUAGUUUAUGUGUUUUGCUUCUUUGCCAAGGAGAGUGAUGCAUUUGCCAUGUCAGUCAUGGAGAAAAUGAAUAUUAUUGAGUGUUAUUCAAAAUGAUCUCAAUAAAGAGAAAUAAUCUUGAAAUUGUGGGGGUCUUUCACAAAGGAAAAGACAACACUAAAAAUGUGCGGGGCAUUUCGCAUAAUUGUAUUAGACAUGCAUGAUGAUACUUAUUAAGUAAGCAUAUAAAUGGACAUGGACAUUGGGUCAUGUAUGUUAGUCGUAGUGUGGAAAGGAUGAAAGCCAAGAAGUGCUUUUCCAUAAUGGCUAGUGAGGCAUGAAGGCCUAAGAAGAUAGAUAUAUAAGGACUAUCUUAGUUGUUCCUUACUUCUUAAAGUGGAAAAUGUGAUCGAUUUAAUGAUAGCAUUACAAGAAACAACAAUUAUGAAAGAAUUGUGGGGGUUGGUUAAAAGUAAGUUGUUGAUUGAACGACAUUUAAGAUGUCAUCUCCUGUAAUGAGUAAUUGUUUAAGGUUUGGUAAGGUUAGAGACCUUCUUACAACUACCUUAAAUGUGGGGGAGUAUGCCCAAGUAUUAGCAAAUUACUAACUAAAGUCCCAACAUGUAUGGUUGAGGACUUGACGUUGUAAAUCAACUACUCUCGUAUGAAAUAUAAUUUCAUAAGAUGGAUUGUAUACACCAUUAAAAAUAGUCAACCUAGUAGUGGAUCCAAUUAUUAAAGGUUAGACUAGAGAGUAAGUUGAUCAUCGAGGGGAAUGAGGCUAAAACCAACAUAACUAAUGAAUCAGCCGGUCGGAAACCUAACUUAGUUGAUUGGAGAUCCCAUGGUCUAAGUUCAAUAGGCAAACUGGUUGGGCAUGAUUCAAAGAAGUUAACACACUAUAUACCUCAUUCCUAUGAUGGAAGAAGUGUGUUGUCUGCAGACGUUUUAGGUUGUAUAUUUAUACUUAAUGACAGUGAUAUCUUAUAAAUAAGAGGAAUAUAGCAGACUAUUCUUAAUCAGUGGUCACCUAUGUGAGAGUAGAAGUGGGUCGCUUCUAUGAGUAUGAGAUGGCUAAAUACUCUAAAGCUCUCAUGAAUCCGGGAUUUGUUCAGGACCAAAAUGAACACAACCGUAUGAACCGGAAUAUAUUAGGAUUAGUGAUGUGUGUUGCUUAUUGUCUCGGUUUACUACUGCGGUGAACAGUUCAAGAUUCUAUAUUCACUGCGUCACCAAGUAAAUCCGAUAAGUAUUCACUAGGGUAGGUUCAAGUCCAAAAGACACCUCUCCCGAUGCAUCUCUUGUCCGCCUGUACUCUCAAAUUCUUUCUAAUUUUUCAUUCAUGUGGAGGAUUGUUGGAAUUUACAUAUUACAAUAUUAAUUAUAAUAUUUAAUUCAAUAAUUGAAUGAAAAAUACUUUAACCGUUUGUAUCAAACCGUAUUUGUCAUUAAAUGGGUGCCAUCUUAUACAAAGCAGCGCCACAUUGAGUAUGGACCUUUUAAAUGGUGCCAUCUAAAAGAUGUAUGUAUGCAUCUCUUCGUCAAUCAAUGCCUUCGGUUUUAUUUAACCUCAUGAAACCAUGGCAUUAAGAUAUAGAAAAUUAGAGUUAAUUUUUACUCUUGAGAAAUAGGGUUUCCCCACUUUAUUUCUCAAAUGAUUCGUGUGUCAAAUUCCGAGUCGUGUCUUGAGAGUACGGAAUAUAUAAAGUUCGCCAGAGUCCAAAGAUUGAAGUGCUUUGACUUCGGAUUAUAGAUUGUUGAAUCCUGGGAGAUAGACGCCUAUCGAACUACAAGCACAAGAGUAGGGGCGAAAUUCUAUCUUUAGGACAUUGCAUUUAUGCAAGCCUCAAUCUCCAAGUUUGUCAGUUUUUCUAACUUUAUCUCUAAUUGUUUAUAUUAAUCUCAUACAUAAUUGAUGUUGUGAUUUUCUUUAUGAAUACUUUCAUUGAAAUUCUUUUAUUAUUUUCAUAUUUUCUAAUAUUGCUCCAAUUAGGUUUGCUGCCCAAAAUUGAUUAUCUAGAUAAUGUUAAAUGUGAAACUUGUACAGAAUCGAAAUUUGCAAGUCAAAGCUUUAAAUCGGUGCAUGAAAAAUCCAAUGAUUUGUUAGAUUUAAUUCAUAGUGACUUGUGUGAUUUUAGAUCAUAUCCAACUCGUGGUGGAAAGAAUUAUUAUGUAACAUUUAUAGAUGAUUUCAGUAAGUAUUGUUAUGUUUAUUUACUUCAUAGCAAAGAUGAGACCUUGGAUAUGUUUAAGACAUAUAAGGCAGAAGUUGAAAAUCAACUUAACAACAAGAUUAAAGUCUUAAGGUCCGAUAGGGGAGGAGAAUAUGAGUCUCAUGCUUUUGCUGAAUUUUGUGCCACACAUGGCAUAAUUCAUCAAACAACAGCCCCCUAUACACCACAACAAAACGGUGUUGCCGAAAGGAAAAAUAGGACUUUUAAAGACAUGAUCAAUUCUAUGUUGAAUAGUUCUGGACUUCCACACAAUUUGUGGGGUGAAGCUUUACUUACUGCAAAUAAAAUUUUGAAUCGAAUUCCACCUAAAACGAGAAAGGAGUCACCAUAUGAAUUAUGGAAAGGAAGAACCCCUACGUUUAAAUUGCUUAAAGUGUGGGGUUGUCUGGCAAAAGUACAAGUUCCAUUGCCAAAAAGAACAAAAUUAGGACCUAAAACUAUUGAUUGUGUUUUUAUUGGUUUUGCAUCUAAUAGUUCGGCUUAUAGAUUCUUAGUUUUUCAUUCCGAAAUAAGUGAUAUACAUGUCAAUACUAUUAUAGAAUCUAUAAAUGCAAUAUUUUUUGAGGAUAUUUUUCCAUACAAAAUAGGCAAGUCUAAUUUAUUGAAAAAGAGAAUACAUGAUGAUGUAUCUGAGGUUACUGAUGAACCUAGAGAACAUGAUGAUGGUUCAACCUCGUCUAGAGUUCAAGAAGAAGAACUUGAACCUAGAAGAAGUAAAAGGACAAAAAUCCGAAAGGACUUUGGGCCUGAUUUUGUUACUUUAUUAACCGAGACAGAACCUCAAUCAUUCAAGGAGGCCAUGUCCACUCCUGAAGCUCCAUUUUGGAAGGAUGCAGUUAACAGUGAGAUAGAUUCCAUUAUGCAAAAUCAUACAUGGGAAUUAGUCGAUUUGCCCCCUGGCAAUAAGCCAAUUGGGUACAAAUGGAUCUUUAAGAAGAAAUUAAAACCAGAUGGUACAAUUGACAAAUAUAAGGCUCGUUUGGUAGCUAAAGGAUACCGUAAAAAACAUGGUUUGGAUUUCUUUGAUACAUACUCACCUGUAACGAGAAUUACUUCAAUAAGAUUAUUGAUUGCUAUAGCUGCACUCCUUAACAUGGAAAUACAUCAAAUGGAUGUAAAAACUGCAUUUCUUAAAUGGAGACUUAGAUGAGGAAAUAUAUAUAUGGAACAACCCGAGGGGUUUGUAGUUAAAGGUAAAGAACACAAAGUGUGUAAACUUGUGAAAUCGCUAUAUGGGCUUAAACAAGCUCCAAAGCAAUGGCAUGAAAAAUUUGACCAUGUUCUGAUCACACACGGUUUUAAGAUAAAUGAGUGUGAUAAGUGUGUCUACACAAAAACUCAAAAUAAUGCUUGCAUUAUGUUGUGUUUAUAUGUAGAUGAUAUGCUUAUAAUGGGAACUAACAAAGAGAUAAUACAUUGGACCAAGAAGAUAUUGAAAUCAAAUUUCGAUAUGAAAGAUCUUGGACUAGCUGAUGUGAUUCUUGGUGUAAAAAUAAAAAGAAACCAAGAAGGAUAUAUUCUUACUCAGUCCCAUUAUAUAGAAGCUACACUUAGGAAAUACGGUCAUUUGGAAAGUAAGGAUGCAAUUACUCCUUUUGAUGCCAAUAGCAAACUUAAGAAAAAUAAAGGUGAUACUAUAUCUCAACGUGAAUACUCACAAGUUAUUGGAAGCCUUAUGUACAUUAUGAAUUGUACAAGGCCUGAUAUAGCACACUCCGUGAGUAGAUUGAGUAGAUAUACAUGCAAUCCUGGGCAUGAUCAUUGGGAAGCUUUAAUUCGAGUUAUGAGAUACUUAAAGCAUACAAUGAAUUAUGGAUUGCAUUAUACGAGGUAUCCUCCUGUGCUCGAAGGAUUCACUGAUGCGAAUUGGAUAUCGGAUAGUACUGAUACGAAAUCCACAAGUGGAUAUGUAUUUACUUUGGGAGGAGCAGCAAUAUCUUGGAAAUCUUCCAAACAAACAUGUAUAGCCCUAUCAACUAUGGAAUCGGAAUUUAUAGCCCUCGAUAUGGCUGGAGGAGAAGCUGAGUGGCUAAGAGAUUUUUUGGAAGAUGUUCCCAUAUGGCCUAAACCUGUAACGGCAAUAUGUAUACACUGUGAUAGUUUAGCUGCACAAUAUCGAGCUAAAAAUAGUGUAUACAAUGGGAAGUCUAGACAAAUUAGACGAAGACAUAACACAAUAAAGCAAUGGCUCUCUAGUGGUGUAAUUUCUAUUGACUAUGUCAAGUCAAAAGAUAAUAUUGCGGAUCCGCUUACUAAAGGCUUAUCUAGAGAGCAAGUUAAGCAUACAUCGAGGGGAAUGGGUUUAAAGCCAAUAGAGUAAAAUGAAACUGCCAAACGGAAACCUAACAUAGUUGAUUGGAGAUCCCAUGGUCUAGGUUCAAUAGGCAAACUGGUUUGGCUAGAUUCAAGAAGAAACACACUUACAUACCCAUUCCUAUGAUGGAAGAAGUGUGGUGACUGCUGAUGAGUAUAUGAUACAUUAGUUUAAUGAUAUUGAUACUUGUAAGUCAAGUGGAAUAGUAGCAGCCUAUUCUUAAUCAAUAUCACCUAUAUGAGAGAAAAUGUGGGGUCGCAUUUAUGAGAAUUAUAUGGCUACAUUCUCUAAAGCUCUCAUGAAUCCAGGAUUUGUUCAGGACCAAAAUGAACACAAACGUAUGAAUUUGCGAUGUGUUGGUGUGGCAUAUGUUUUGCUUAUUGUCUUGGUUUAUUGCGGAGAUGAACAGUUCAAGAUUUUAUAUUCACUGCGUCAUCUAGUAAAUCCGAUAAGUAUAUACUAAGGUAGGUUCAAGUCCAAAAGACACCUUUCCUGAUGUAUGUCACAUCUACUGUUUACUCUCGUAUCUUAGUUUCUUUAAGACUAAAUAGUCGUCUCAAAAUGUGGGGUAUUGUUGGAAGUUUUGAGACUCUUGUCCCACAUUGGUGAAAACAAGAUUCCAAAGUACCUUUAUAUACCUUUUGUCUUCUACAAUAUUAGUUAUGUGUUGGACCACUUGGAAUGGGAAUUGAGGCUUGGGCCACAUUUCUGUGGAUUGGGCUUGAUGAUUAUACCAUAAUAUUAAUAUUAAUUAAUAUUAAUUAAUCAAGACAAGGGCCUUGGGCCUUGGGGCCUAAGAAUUAAAAUUAAUCUGAUCAAUUAGUUUUAAUUUCGAAUUAAGUUUUUAAUUAAAUUAAUUAAAAACAUUUUGAUUAAAGAUACAACCUUUUGUAAAGAGUUGUAAGCUUCAGAUACAUCCAAAAGGUAUUUGAAGAGGUAUGAAAGAGCCUAUAUAACUGGAGUCCUCAGUUCAUCAUCAAUCAUCCAUUCUUCUUCCUUUUCUUCCGUACAAACUUUCCAGAGAGAGUAAACACACAAAGCAAUUCGCUAGAAUUCUAUAAUCCAGUGCGGGUUGUAGGAUUAGGUAGUUGUAUCCUGGUCGAGCAGACGUUGUAGAACCACAAGCACAAGAGUGGGACGGAAUUACUGUUCGAAGAUUGUUGGAGAACAAUUUAGAAACAGAAAUAACAGAAAUACAGAACUUGAAAAUAUUCAUAAAGAAAAUCACAACAUCAAUUAUGUAUGAGAUUAAUAUAAACAAUUAGAGAUAAAGUUAGAAAAACUGACAAACUUGGAGAUUGAGGCUUGCAUAAAUGCAAUGUCCUAAAGAUAGAAUUUCGCCCAUACUCUUGUGCUUGUAGUUCGAUAGGCGUCUAUCUCCCAGGAUUCAACAAUCUAUAAUCCGAAGUCAAAGCACUUCAAUCUUCGGACUCUGGCGAACUUUAUAUAUUCCGUACUCUCAAGACACGACUCGGAAUUUGACACACGAAUCAUUUGAGAAAUAAAGUGGGGAAACCCUAUUUCUCAAGAGUAAAAAUUAACUCUAAUUUUCUAUAUCUUAAUGCCAUGGUUUCAUGAGGUUAAAUAAAACCGAAGGCAUUGAUUGACGAAGAGAUGCAUACAUACAUCUUUUAGAUGACACCAUUUAAAAGGUCCAUACUCAAUGUGGCGCUGCUUUGUAUAAGAUGGCACCCAUUUAAUGACAAAUACGGUUUGAUACAAACGGUUAAAGUAUUUUUCAUUCAAUUAUUGAAUUAAAUAUUAUAAUUAUUAAUAUUGUAAUAUGUAAAUUCCAACAGUUUUUUGAUACAAGCAAUAUUUGAUAUUAAUCUAAAAAGUUUAGGUUGCACCAUAAAAUUGAUUGGCAAUACGGGGAGUAACCUAACUUAUUUUUGGAUGAAUCCAAGGUAUCCCC
rnacentral:lncRNA from 1 species